ACGAUAACGGCGUCGAGCGGCGGACGGGUGAGUAAUGCCUAGGAAAUUGCCCUGAUGUGGGGGAUAACCAUUGGAAACGAUGGCUAAUACCGCAUGAUGCCUACGGGCCAAAGAGGGGGACCUUCGGGCCUCUCGCGUCAGGAUAUGCCUAGGUGGGAUUAGCUAGUUGGUGAGGUAAGGGCUCACCAAGGCGACGAUCCCUAGCUGGUCUGAGAGGAUGAUCAG
rnacentral:rRNA from 1 species